rnacentral:misc_RNA from 1 species
AAAUGCGAUAAGUAAUGUGAAUUGCAGAAUUCAGUGAAUCAUCGAAUCUUUGAACGCACCUUGCGCUCCUUGGUAUUCCUUGGUGCAUGCCUGUUUGAGUAUCAUGAAAUCUUCAAAGUAAAUCUUUUGUUAACUCAAUUGGUUUCUACUUUGGUAUUGGAGGUCUUUGCAGCUUCACACCUGCUCCUCUUUGUUCAUUAGCUGGAUCUCAGUGUUAUGCUUGGUUCCACUCGGCGUGAUAAGUUAUCUAUCGCUGAGGACACUGUAAAAGGUGGCCAAGGUAAAUGCAGAUGAACCGCUUCUAAUAGUCCAUUGACUUGGACAAUACUUUUAUGAUCUGAUCUCAAAUCAGGUAGGACUACCCGCUGAACUUAAGC